AACGGACGCUGGCGGCAUGCCUAACACAUGCAAGUCGAACGAGACCUUCGGGUCUAGUGGCGCACGGGUGCGUAACGCGUGGGAACCUGCCCUUAGGUUCGGAAUAACUCCCCGAAAGGGGUGCUAAUACCGGAUAAUGUCUUCGGACCAAAGAUUUAUCGCCUUUGGAUGGGCCCGCGUUGGAUUAGCUAGUUGGUAGAGUAAAAGCCUACCAAGGCGACGAUCCAUAGCUGGUCUGAGAGGAUGAUCAGCCACACUGGGACUGAGACACGGCCCAGACUCCUACGGGAGGCAGCAGUGGGGAAUAUUGGACAAUGGGCGAAAGCCUGAUCCAGCAAUGCCGCGUGAGUGAUGAAGGCCUUAGGGUUGUAAAGCUCUUUUAACCGGGAUGAUAAUGACAGUACCGGGAGAAUAAGCUCCGGCUAACUCCGUG
rnacentral:rRNA from 1 species